GACGAACGCUGGCGGCGUGCUUAACACAUGCAAGUCACGGGGGCCCGCAAGGGUAACCGGCGAACGGGUGCGUAACACGUGAACAACCUGCCCUCGUGUGGGGGAUAGCCAUGCUAACGCGUGGGUAAUACCGCAUACGUUCUUCGAGGGGAUUCUCUUGGAGAAGAAAGCUCCGGCGCACGGGGAGGGGUUCGCGGCCUAUCAGCUAGUUGGUGUGGGUAAUGGCCCACCAAGGCGACGACGGGUAGCUGGUCUGAGAGGAUGGCCAGCCACAUUGGGACUGAGACACGGCCCAGACUCCUACGGGAGGCAGCAGUGGGGAAUUUUGGACAAUGGGCGCAAGCCUGAUCCAGCCAUGCCGCGUGAGUGAAGAAGGCCUU
rnacentral:rRNA from 1 species